UAUCCAAUAUAGUAUAUCUAAUAUGGUAUAUUAUCCCUUAUGGUUCAAAGGAUGGACAGCAAAUUAGGUAAAGCAGUAU
rnacentral:miRNA from 1 species